GUAGGAGCAAAGCUUGCUCGCGAUAGCGUCAGGUCAGACAGGAUUGGGUCUGAAUCCUGGACCGCUAUCGCGAGCAAGCUUUGCUCCUAC
rnacentral:misc_RNA from 1 species